AGAACGAACGCUGGCGGCAGGCUUAACACAUGCAAGUCGAACGCCCCGCAAGGGGAGUGGCAGACGGGUGAGUAACGCGUGGGAACAUACCCUUCGGUACGGAAUAGCUCAGGGAAACUUGGAUUAAUACCGUAUACGGCCGGGAGGCGAAAGAUUGAUCGCCGAAGGAUUGGCCCGCGUCCGAUUAGCUAGUUGGUGGGGUAAUGGCUCACCAAGGCGACGAUCGGUAGCUGGU
rnacentral:rRNA from 1 species